rnacentral:rRNA from 1 species
AUUGAACGCUGGCGGCAUGCCUUACACAUGCAAGUCGAACGGUAACAGGUCUUCGGAUGCUGACGAGUGGCGAACGGGUGAGUAAUACAUCGGAACGUGCCUAGUAGUGGGGGAUAACUACUCGAAAGAGUGCUAAUACCGCAUGAGAUCUACGGAUGAAAGCAGGGGAUCGCAAGACCUUGUGCUACUAGAGCGGCCGAUGGCAGAUUAGGUGGUUGGUGGGAUAAAAGCUUACCAAGCCGACGAUCUGUAGCUGGUCUGAGAGGACGAUCAGCCACACUGGGACUGAGACACGGCCCAGACUCCUACGGGAGGCAGCAGUGGGGAAUUUUGGACAAUGGGCGAAAGCCUGAUUCAGCAAUGCCGCGUGCAGGAUGAAGGCCUUCGGGUUGUAAACUGCUUUUGUACGGAACGAAAAGCCCCGGGUUAAUACCCUGGGGUCAUGACGGUACCGUAAGAAUAAGCACCGGCUAACUACGUGCCAGCCGCCGCAGUAA